UGCCAGCAGCCGCGGUAAUACGGAGGGGGCUAGCGUUGUUCGGAAUCACUGGGCGUAAAGCGCACGUAGGCGGGUCAGUCAGUCAGGGGUGAAAUCCCGAGGCUCAACCUCGGAACUGCCUCCAAAACUAUCAGUCUAGAGUUCGAGAGAGGUGAGUGGAAUUCCGAGUGUAGAGGUGAAAUUCGUAGAUAUUCGGAGGAACACCAGUGGCGAAGGCGGCUCACUGGCUCGAUACUGACGCUGAGGUGCGAAAGUGUGGGGAGCAAACAGGAUUAGAUA
rnacentral:rRNA from 1 species